rnacentral:rRNA from 1 species
UACGUAGGGGGCUAGCGUUGUCCGGAUUUAUUGGGCGUAAAGAGCGUGUAGGCGGCCAGGUAGGUCUGCUGUGAAAACUCGAGGCUCAACCUCGAGACGUCGGCGGAAACCAUCUGGCUAGAGUCCGGAAGAGGAGAGUGGAAUUCCUGGUGUAGCGGUGAAAUGCGCAGAUAUCAGGAAGAACACCCGUGGCGAAGGCGGCUCUCUGGGACGGUACUGACGCUGAGGCGCGAAAGCCAGGGGAGCGAACGGG